GUAGUCCACGCUGUAAACGAUGAUCACUAGAUGUCGGGGCACUUACCGCCUCGGUGUCGUAGCUAACGCGUUAAGUGAUCCGCCUGGGAAUUACGGCCGCAAGGUUAAAACUCAAAGAAAUUGACGGGGGCCCGCACAAGCAGUGGAGUAUGUGGUUUAAUUCGAGGCAACGCGAAGAACCUCACCUGGGCUUGACAUCCGACGCUAUCCUGUGAAAGCAGGAGUUCUCGCAAGAGACGUCGAGACAGGUGCUGCAUGGCUGUCGUCAGCUCGUGUCGUGAGAUGUUGGGUUAAGUCCCGCAACGAGCGCAACCCUUGUCCUUAGUUGCCAGCAUUAAGUUGGGCACUCUAAGGAGACCGCUUGCCGAUAAGGCAGA
rnacentral:rRNA from 1 species